rnacentral:sRNA from 1 species
UUUCACCAGGCCCCCGGCUUGGGGCGCCUUCCUUCCCCAUGGCGGGACACCUGGCUUCGGAUUUCGCCUUCUCGCCCCCUCCAGGUGGUGGAGGUGAUGGGCCAGGGGGGCCGGAGCCGGGCUGGGUUGAUCCUCGGACCUGGCUAAGCUUCCAAGGCCCUCCUGGAGGGCCAGGAAUCGGGCCGGGAGUUGGGCCAGGCUCUGAGGUGUGGGGGAUUCCCCCAUGCCCCCCGCCGUAUGAGUUCUGUGGGGGGAUGGCAUACUGUGGGCCUCAGGUUGGAGUGGGGCUAGUGCCCCAAGGCAGCUUGGAGACCUCUCAGCCUGAGGGCGAAGCAGGAGUCGGGGUGGAGAGCAACUCCGAUGGGGCCUCCCCGGAGCCCUGCACCGUCCCCCCUGGUGCCGUGAAGCUGGAGAAGGAGAAGCUGGAGCAAAACCCGGAGGAGUCCCAGGACAUCAAAGCUCUGCAGAAAGAACUCGAGCAAUUUGCCAAGCUCCUGAAGCAGAAGAGGAUCACCCUGGGAUAUACACAGGCCGAUGUGGGGCUCACCCUGGGGGUUCUAUUUGGUGGGUUCCCCUCAGCAUGUUCUGACCACAUCUCCCCUCUUGUCCCUGAACCUAGUGGGGGAGGGGCAGGGGCAGACUCUACCCUCACCCAUGAAGAGGAGUGGGGAGAGGGAGAAGAUGCUUGGGCUUUGAGCUCCCUCUGGGAAGAGGUAGGAAGCUUGGAUCUUGGGGUCACAAGGGCCCUGUAUGUUCCCUCAUUUUGCUUCUCUUUUGACUGGCCUCCCCCAGGG